rnacentral:rRNA from 1 species
UAUCUCUGUAGAGUCUGCAUAUCAAUAAGCGGAGGAAAAGAAACUAACAAGGAUUCCCUUAGUAACGGCGAGUGAAGCGGGAAGAGCUCAAAUUUGAAAUCUUCAAGGUUCUACCUUGACGAAUUGUAGUUUAAAGAAGUGUUUUCUGUUAGAUGAGUAGCAAAAGUUCCUUGGAAUGGGACAUCAUAGAGGGUGAGAAUCCCGUAUUUGGUUAUUCAUUCUAGCUUUGUGAUACACUUUCAAAGAGUCGGAUUGUUUGGGAAUGCAGUCCAAAAUGGGUGGUAAAUUUCAUCUAAAGCUAAAUAUUGGCGAGAGACCGAUAGCGAACAAGUACCGUGAGGGAAAGAUGAAAAGAACUUUGAAAAGAGAGUUAAACAGUACGUGAAAUUGUCAAAAGGGAAGCGUUUGACACCAGUGUUGUUUUUCCGAAAAUCAAUUACGAAUGCUUGAUUAUGGGUUGUAUUGACCUUAUCAGCUUCUGCACUUUGGUUUCGGAGUCUUUCUUGAUGCACUUUUCGGUUAACAAGUCAACAUCAAUUUCCUUUGCUGUAAAAGAGUAAGUCGGAAGGUGGCUUUCAAUUUCGGUGAGAGUGUUUAUAGCCCUAUACUUCUAGCAGUCGGAGAGAUUGAGGUCUGCAGCGUAGAUCCUUCGGGGUUAGAUACACUUUAUGCUAAGUUAUAGCUUUUCAUAGACAACUUGUUGACUAUGUUUAGUCAUGCGGCUUACUCGCUUGUGCUAUUUUACCUACGCUUAGGAUGUUGAAGACUCUACAGAGAUA